GCAAGUCGAGCGCUUACCUUCGGGUAGGAGCGGCGGACGGGUUAGUAACGCGUGGGAAUAUACCCUUCACUACGGAAUAGCCUCGGGAAACUGAGAGUAAUACCGUAUACGCCCUUCGGGGGAAAGAUUUAUCGGUGAAGGAUUAGCCCGCGUUGGAUUAGGUAGUUGGUGGGGUAAUGGCCUACCAAGCCGACGAUCCAUAGCUGGUUUGAGAGGAUGAUC
rnacentral:rRNA from 1 species